CUCCUACGGGAGGCAGCAGUCGGGAAUAUUGCACAAUGGAGGAAACUCUGAUGCAGUGACACCGCGUAUAGGAAGAAGGUUUUCGGAUUGUAAACUAUUUUAGACAGGGAAGAAAAAAGACAGUACCUGUAGAAUAAGCUCCGGCUAACUACGUGCCAGCAGCCGCGGUAAUACGUAGGGAGCAAGCGUUAUCCGGAAUUACUGGGUGUAAAGGGAGCGUAGGCGGGGAUGCAAGUUGGGUGUCAAAACUACCGGCUCAACUGGUAGUCGCACUCAAAACUGCAGCUCUUGAGUGAAGUAGAGGG
rnacentral:rRNA from 1 species